UACGUAGGGUGCGAGCGUUAAUCGGAAUUACUGGGCGUAAAGCGUGCGCAGGCGGUUCGUUGUGUCGGCGGUGAAAGCCCCGGGCUUAACCUGGGAAUGGCCGUCGAAACUGGCGAACUGGAGUGUGGCAGAGGGGGGUGGAAUUCCGCGUGUAGCAGUGAAAUGCGUAGAGAUGCGGAGGAACACCGAUGGCGAAGGCAGCCCCCUGGGCUGACACCGACGCUCAGGCACGAAAGCGUGGGGAGCAAACAGG
rnacentral:rRNA from 1 species